rnacentral:rRNA from 1 species
AUACGUAGGUGGCAAGCGUUGUCCGGAUUUACUGGGCGUAAAGGGAGCGUAGGUGGAUAUUUAAGUGGGAUGUGAAAUACCCGGGCUUAACCUGGGUGCUGCAUUCCAAACUGGAUAUCUAGAGUGCAGGAGAGGAGAAGGGAAUUCCUAGUGUAGCGGUGAAAUGCGUAGAGAUUAGGAAGAACACCAGUGGCGAAGGCGCUUCUCUGGACUGUAACUGACGCUGAGGCUCGAAAGCGUGGGGAGC